GUUUGUCUUGCUCAGUGGUAGUGUGCAUGCUUUUUAUGUGUUAGGUCCUGGGUUCAAUCCCCAGCUUCUCCC